UUGUUGACUGGAUUCAAUUUGAGAAUUUGGAAAGCUUGUGAUCAAGCCUUGGAGGCUGGGUUUUGUUUGGAAAGAAGCUAGGAUUUCAAAGCUUGGGGUGUGGUAUAUAAGAUAGGUGUUCCAGGUUGAUCGGAGAAUCGGCCAACAUGCAGGACGUGAGGUACCUCACUGAGGCAUACUGAAAGCUUCUGAUAGUGGAGAUCCUUGUCUUUGGGACUUUAUUUUGAAUAUAUGUAUAUAUGUAGAUACUUUUUUCUCCACUACUUAUGUACUGAUGUAUUAACUUCCUCUUAGAGGUUAUUUUGGAGAAAUAGGUUCUGUAACUAUGUAUCUUGGACUUAUUUUGGGUUCUCUUAUAUAUAUGUUAUAUACUUAUGUGCUCAAGCCGAUUUGUCUUCGCGACCCGAGUCUUGAAUUUUGAUAUUUGUACCUUGGAGCUCUCUUUCGGUUAUAUCUAUAUUAGCUUCUCUUAUCUUUCCAUUUUUCAUCUACGUAGUGUGAGUGUUGCACUUUUCA